rnacentral:lncRNA from 1 species
AUUCUUUCGAAAGACAAUGUUCAGAUCCGUGUUAACGUUGCUUUUCAUAAAUUGUUGGUUUAAAAAAAAUAUAAAAAACCGGGUGAUAUAUAUAGACGAAACCGGGUGUUGUGUAGUAAACAACAAUGACGAAACCGGUGUAUUUUUAUUUGACAUGACCCAUAUCUUUCGUUCCAUACACAUAAAUACAAGUAUUGAGAUGCUCAUAAUGACUAG